rfam:Myotis brandtii contig158116, whole genome shotgun sequence.
ACCUGUUCUCUGGUGAUGCACCCCAGAAUCGGGUCCCUCCUCUCUGGUUCUCGGUACAUCACCCAAGAACGGC